rnacentral:rRNA from 1 species
GAUGAACGCUGACAGAAUGCUUAACACAUGCAAGUCAACUUGAACUUCGGUUUGGGUGGCGGACGGGUGAGUAACGCGUAAAGAACUUGCCUCACAGUUAGGGACAACAUUUGGAAACGAAUGCUAAUACCUGAUAUUAUGAUUUUAGGGCAUCCUAGAAUUAUGAAAGCUAUAUGCGCUGUGAGAGAGCUUUGCGUCCCAUUAGCUAAUUGGAGAGGUAACAGCUCACCAAGGCGAUGAUGGGUAGCCGGCCUGAGAGGGUGAACGGCCACAAGGGGACUGAGACACGGCCCUUACUCCUACGGGAGGCAGCAGUGGGGAAUAUUGGACAAUGGACCAAGAGUCUGAUCCAGCAAUUCUGUGUGCACGAUGAAGUUUUUCGGAAUGUAAAGUGCUUUCAGUUGGGAAGAAAAAAAUGACGGUACCAACAGAAGAAGUGACGGCUAAAUACGUGCCAGCAGCCGCGGUUAUACGUAUGUCACAAGCGUUAUCCGGAUUUAUUGGGCGUAAAGCGCGUCUAGGUGGUUAUGUAAGUCUGAUGUGAAAAUGCAGGGCUCAACUCUGUAUUGCGUUGGAAACUGUGUAACUAGAGUACUGGAGAGGUAAGCGGAACUACAAGUGUAGAGGUGAAAUUCGUAGAUAUUUGUAGGAAUGCCGAUGGGGAAGCCAGCUUACUGGACAGAUACUGACGCUAAAGCGCGAAAGCGUGGGUAGCAAACAGG